rnacentral:lncRNA from 1 species
AAUAAGUCACCGCUAUUAAACUCAAAGACAAGCUUUUGUUUACACUUUUUUUGUAAAGUGUUGGUCUGACCUGCAAAAACCUUUGCAUGUGUGACGCCUUUUUACAGUUUGUAUCCAAGAAUGCAGCCCCCUAAGAAUGCUGCUAGCAAUGCAGCCAAAUCCAAAACCCAAAAGCCCAAUUGUAUGAAGAAGGCUCUCCGGUGCCUUCUGUCAUGUUUUUGUACGACUGUGGAGGACUCAGACGGAGAAGACGAUGCACCUUUGGACCAACCGCUGCGCAUCAUCAGAUGGAGCGACGGCACGGAGGAGCAGGCUGAGGAGCCCCCGGCAAGAGUCGGCCAGCCCGGCUCACCUUUAGCUGUCGCAGGUCACCAGAGCCUGGAGAACAAGCAUGAGGAGGACUCACAAACGCUGUCUUCACAGCAAAGAGCUUCAUUUCUGAGAUCCUUAGAACCUGCAGAAGCUGCAGCUGAGCAACCUAUUGCAACAAGUUCUAGUGAUGAGGAAGAAGAGAACUCUUCCCCAUUAAGCGACAGCAUUUCAGACAUCCUGGCUAUCUUCUUCGAUGAUCAGUCAGAGAUAUCUUCACGUGUAAGUCUUUUAUUUUGUAACGCCUUUUCCUGCAGAAGCUACGGCUGA